UUAAGUCUUUAUUUAUAUAAUAAUUAAAUUUGAUCAUGGUUUGUUUGUUGGUUCAAAAUGAUGUUAUCUAAAUUUGAUUCAUUAAGUGGGCAAUGUAAUUCUACCCCGGCAAUUUAUCGCUUGUAUAAUUUUUGUUCCAGAAUAAUCGGCUAGACUUAAAUAAGCUUGUACUCUAAUUUUUGUAAAAUUAAAUAUUUUGAAAUUGUUAUUUAUUCUCUAGGGUAAAAUCAGGAGAAUUAGUUAUAAUUUAUUUAAUUUAUAAGAUUUGGUGAACGAACCAGAUUAGUACCUGGUUAGACAAAAUUAAAAAGAGCAGGAGUAAAGUUAUAUUUAAACUGUAAGGAUAUUGGCAGGUUUUUUAAAUUAUCUUUGGAGGUUGAGUAGUAAUUGAGAACCCUCAUUUUCAUCUUUUGUUAUAGGCGCAUGUAUGAUCGUUUAUUUUAUUCUUAAGGAUUGUAAACAAAAAUUUUUAUUUAUAAAAAUAGAUAAAUACCUGGUUUAUACAAGAGUUUAAAUUUGACCUACAAUAAAUAAGAUUUUGGAUUCAAUUUUGAGAAAAUUUGAUGAAAUUGUAAAAGACAGUAAGACAUUUUUUAUAUAUGUCUGAAGUUUAUCUAAAAGCGGUACAAAUCAUCCAUCAAUUGCCCAUAGGGGAGUAAGUUGUAGUAAAGUAGGUUUAGGGGAACCUGUACCUA
rnacentral:ncRNA from 1 species